UGGGGAAUCUUGCGCAAUGGACGAAAGUCUGACGCAGCGACGCCGCGUGGGGGAUGAAGGCUUUCGGGUUGUAAACCCCUGUUGCCCGGGACGAACGACCUCUUUCGAGAGGUGUGACGGUACCGGGUGAGGAAGCACCGGCUAACUCUGUGCCAGCAGCCGCGGUAAUACAGAGGGUGCGAGCGUUGUCCGGAAUCACUGGGCGUAAAGGGCGCGUAGGUGGCACAACAAGUCAGUGGUGAAAGCUCGGCGCUUAACGCCGAGUCGGCCACUGAGACUGUUGAGCUUGAGCACUGUAGAGGCUAAUGGAAUUCCGGGUGUAGCGGUGGAAUGCGUAGAGAUCCGGAAGAACACCGGUGGCGAAGGCGGUUAGCUGGGCAGUUGCUGACACUGAGGCGCGACAGCGUGGGGAGCAAACAG
rnacentral:rRNA from 1 species